GCCGUAGCCUACUGGUUAGCGCUUCGGACUUGUAACCGGAUGGUUGCCGGUUCGAACCCUGACCAGUAGGCA
rnacentral:tRNA from 1 species